AGACACCCUGCGUCCCUCCCUUGCUCGCAGCAGUUGCUGUGGCGGUCCUCCCGUGCACCCCCCCUUCUGCCCUCACUGCCCCUGGGGGUCCUCAUCACGGACCCCCUAACUCGGCAUCCUGGACACCACCACCCCGCACCUUUCCACAGUGCAGCUCUGCUCGUGCCUGUGAAGCCUCCCACAGCCUGGGAAGGAAAAUCCAGACUUGCCAGACCUUGCCUCAGCCAGGCCUUGGAAGCCUGCCAGCUUACCUAACCAGGCUAGUCUGCCCCCCUCACUCUGGGUGCUCUCCAUGGGCCACUCACCAUUUCCUGAGCAGGACCAGAGCUCUCCUGCCCCAAGGCUGGGCUUCAGCUGCUCUUUCAGCUUUGAACGUCCUUUCCCAUUCUCCAUCAUCCACAUUCACCUAUCCUGCCUGCCCCAGUUAAAAUCCUGUUUCUUCUAGGAAGUCCCUCAUCCCACCCGCUUACCCCAGGGAGACUGAGCUUGUUCCUUCUCCUAGUAAGACCCUCAGCCCAUGGAGUCCUGUGUGAUGUUGUGAGCGUGGGAGGACAGACUGAACUGCUCGGCCCGUGGAGUCCUGUGUGAUGUUGUGAGCGGGGAGGACAGACUGAACUGCGUGGUGCUUCGCACAUAGACCUCAACAGGGAUUGGCAUUUUGAAGCUGUUGGCGGGGGCUGUGGACUGCUUUUCUUCCUUUCUAGCUCAACGGCAGCUAAAGCCACUGCAUACAAUGCAAGGACUGGCUCCUGUUUGGCCACGACUGAUUGCAGCCCCUGGUGAAAUGAGAACCCUGUGGGUCGGAACAAAGUUUGGAUUAUUUAUGUUGCAAGUAACUAAAAUCUCAAGUGAAACUGGUUUAAACAUUAUAUUUUUAUUAUUUAUUUAUUUAUAUUUAAUUCUUUUUUAGAGACAGGGUCUUCUUAGGUUGCCCAGGCUGGUCUUGAACUCCUGGCCUCAACGAUCUUCCCACUUCAGCCUCCUGCAUUGCUGGGAUUAUAGGUGUGAGCCACCAUGCCUGGCUUACACAGUAUAAAGGGAAUGCAUUGGCCCACACAGUGGAAAAAAAUAUCUAGUAGGAAUAGGAAGGACUUCAGGUGAGGUUUGAUCCAGCAGCUCAAAUGUUGUCACCACAGGCCUGGAUUCCUCUGGCCUUUCUCAAGGUCUCUUUCAUUUUCAUGCUCCACAAGAUGGCUUCUGCCAGGCUGACCUCCCUCCCCUGACCCCAGCAGCUCUGGACACCCCUCUCAGUGCCAUUUAUAUUGUUGCAUCAAUAGGCUCAUUUCUAUAUACUGCAAGGUUCAGAGAAGACAGAGUAUCUCUCUCAAGAGUUCUAACAUAAGUCUGGGGGUCCUGGCUCUCAUAGGCUUGAACAGGGCCACAUGUCCAUUCCUGAGCCAAUAUUUGUGACCAAGGGGAUGUGGUCAAUCUCAUCCAAACCUCACUUGAAGUGAGGGUGGGAGGAGGAGUGCUCUGCAAGGAGACUGUAGGUCUGGACCACCAAAAAGGUAGAUGGGUUGGUGGGAAAAGCCAGAUGCCUACUAUGGUAGUGGGCGGGGGGAGGGCACACUGGCAAGGUACAGCAAGAGGCAGGGGCAGUGCUGGACAGGCAGGGGCUCCUCCCUAGCACGACUGGAGAAAGGACUCCUGUGAAGCGGUCACCUCCAUGAGUCCCUCCUGUCCUGGCUUCCAACCACUCUGAAGUGGGGCUUUUGUCCACAGACCUGGCCUCUGCUGCCUACCCUCUUCUGUCCCCACCUGAUGGGGCCGCUUUCCUUCUGAAGCGGCUGCAUUUUGGGUUUCUCUCCACAGGAAGAGUUGGGGCUCACAGGCACACCCUCUCCCUAACUCUUCUCCCCCGGUUCAACCUGGAUCCAGGGAUCCACACUCUGCUCCGAGAGGCCAGCACGCAGCCACUGGAAAAUGAGCCAGUGGGAGAGGGCAGCUCCAUGUUUAUUGAUCAGCAGACUAUGUCUUUUUGUUUGAAACUUCUAAAUAAGAUUACAAAAAGAAAAAAAAUAGAAGCAUUGCGUAUUAACUGCAUUGGUUAACCAACAUUGGAACCCAAUACUCUUGUAUUAGGCCCGCAUUUACCUGAGUAAACUCAGUGGUUUUCUGUCCUAAGCAUGCUUGCCUGCUACAUCCCAUGGAGAAAAUAAACAGUGAAACACUUUCCUCAUCUUCAAGGCAAUUGUCUCAGGCAUCCUCCAGGCAUCAUGAAGGAGGGUGAGCGAGGGUGCGAGGUGGAAAGGUCCAGGCCGCGGCUGUGACUCCCGCGGGUGAACCACAGCUCCACAGCCCCAAAUCCAAAGAUGCUCUUGCUGCAGCACGACAAGUGUUCAAAAGAGAACCAGGCCCAGCCCGGAGAAAGGAAAGCCAAAAGCCAACUGAAUGAAUGACCCUCCCCCAGAAGAGCAACCCUGCCCCCAGGCCAUCCAAGUGCGAACAUUACCAGGUGCCAGCAGGGAAAGGACUCCGCUGCCUGACGCCUCUCCCACCUGAGAGCGCAGAGUUCACCCUUUGGUGACCUCCACCGUGGCUGCAGACUUCAGGUGGUCCUCACGCAUUCACAGAACUGUCUGCUUAGGUUACAGCACUUUGGGAGGCCGAGGUGGGUAGAUCACGAGGUCAGGAGAUCGAGACCAUAUUGACCAACAUGGUAAAACCCCAUCUCUACUAAAAUACAAAAAUUAGCCGGGCGUGGUGGCGGGUGCCUGUAGUCCCAGCUACUUGGGAGGCUGAGGCAGGGGAAUCACUUGAACCUGGGAGGCGGAGGUUGCAGUGAACUGAGAUUGCGCCACUGCACUCCAGCCUGGGUGACAGAGACUUCCUCUCAAAAUAAAAAUAAAAAUAAUAAAAUAAUAAAUGGUUCUUUUCUAUGCGUCUAAUGAAUUUAAGUGCUUGUUAAGACUAAAAACCAUGUUAUGCAUUUCCUGCUCUUAAAACUAAAUUAUGUAGAAAGUAAGCUAGGGAGUGUA
rnacentral:lncRNA from 10 species